rnacentral:lncRNA from 1 species
UUAUGGUGGGGAUUGUUUUUUUUGUGUCCCCUCAUUUUUGCAUGUGUGUUUUAGGGUCCUGAAGGAAAACCUGGCAAAAAUGGCGAGAGAGGGAAGCCAGGGUUUAAGGGUGCCAAAGGUAACAUCGGCCACCUGGGAGAGACAGGAGCCAUGGGAAAGAUCGGACCAAUUGGAACCACCGGACCAAAGGGCUCUCGAGGAACCAUCGGACAUGUGGGUGCUCCCGGGCGUAUGGGGAUGCAGGGGGAUCCGGGCAUAUCAGGAUAUGAGGGUCACAAGGGACCUCAAGGUCCAGUAGGACCCCCGGGAC